rnacentral:rRNA from 1 species
ACUCAAAGGAAUAGACGGGGGCCCGCACAAGCGGUGGAGCAUGUGGUUUAAUUCGACGCAACGCGAAGAACCUUACCUGGGCUCGAACGGCUGCGGACGGUUGGUGGAAACACCAACUUUCCCGCAAGGGACCGUAGUCGAGGUGCUGCAUGGCUGUCGUCAGCUCGUGUCGUGAGAUGUUGGGUUAAGUCCCGCAACGAGCGCAACCCUUGUCCUGUUUUGGCAUGCGGAUUUCUGUAAAAAGAGCCGCGCAACUAUCAGGAGACCGCCAGCGAUAAGUUGGAGGAAGGUGGGGAUGACGUCAAGUCAUCAUGGCCUUUAUGUCCAGGGCUACACACGUGCUACAAUGGGCGGUACAAAGCGCUGCAAACCCGUGAGGGGGAGCCAAUCGCAAAAAACCGUCCUCAGUUCGGAUCGCAGGCUGCAACUCGCCUGCGUGAAGCUGGAAUCGCUAGUAAUGGCAUAUCAGAACGAUGCCGUGAAUACGUUCCCGGGCCUUGUACACACCGCCCGU